AAUGAAUAUUUUAAAAUUAAUUUUUUACCCCAAUGUGAUCCCUAAAAUAAAGGAUCGCAUAAGUGAUUCCAAUAUGAACAAUAAUAUAAAAAGAGCUUUGGUUUCCGAUACAGGUCUUUUAUCUAUUCACUUUUGGGCUCCAACAUUUAAAUGGUCUAUAAGCAUUGCAAAUAUUGUUGAUAUUAAUAGAAGCCCUGACUUGUUAUCCUUUCCACAGCAACUUGCUAUAUUCCUCACUGGAGUGUUAUUUGCUCGCUUCGCUUAUAAAAUCAAACCAAGGAAUAUGAAUCUGCUAACAAUUAACCUAUUUAUGAGUAUGACAGCGAUGUAUCAAAUCGGACGUAUUGCUAUUUAUAAAUAUGACCAAACUGAAAAAAGUAAAGAUGAAAAUAAUAGCACGCCAGUAACAACUGAGAAAUUAAGUUUGCUUAGAAAAUAAAAAAACUGAAAAAUAAAAAAAAUUAAUAUAUUUAUUUGCA
rnacentral:lncRNA from 1 species